GACGAACCGUGCAAACGUUAUUCGGAAUCACUGGGCUUAAAGCGCGUGUAGGCGGGACGGCACGUCGGUCGCUGAAAGCCCCCGGCUCAACCGGGGAAUGGGCGCUGAUACGACCGUCCUGGAGGAACGUAGGGGGACCUGGAACUUCCGGUGGAGCGGUGAAAUGCGUUGAGAUCGGAAGGAACGCCCGUGGCGAAAGCGAGGUCCUGGACGUUUUCUGACGCUGAGACGCGAAAGCCAGGGGA
rnacentral:rRNA from 1 species